rnacentral:rRNA from 1 species
CCUACGGGUGGCUGCAGUGAGGAAUAUUGGUCAAUGGCCGGAAGGCUGAACCAGCCAAGCCGCGUGAAGGACGAAGGUGCCAAGCAUUGUAAACUUCUUUUGUCAAGGGACAAAAUCAGGGUCGUGACCCUGACCGAGGGUACGUGAAGAAAAAGCAUCGGCUAACUCCGUGCCAGCAGCCGCGGUAAUACGGAGUAUGCGAGCGUUAUCCGGAUUUAUUGGGUUUAAGGGGUGCGUAGGCGGACCGUUAAGUCAGCGGUAAAAGCCAGGGGCUCAACCCCGGCGAGCCGUUGAAACUGGCAGUCUUGGGAUGUCGAGAGGUAUGCGGAAUGCGCAGUGUAGCGGUGAAAUGCUUAGAUAUCGCGCAGAACUCCGAUUGCGAAGGCAGCAUACCGGCGGCGAUCUGACGCUGAGGCACGAAAGCGUGGGGAUCGAACAGGAUUAGAUACCCCAGUAGUC